CCGCAAGAAGGUCUUUUUUCCUCGCUCGCAAAGAGGCAUUGAAUUGGGCUGGGUUUAAUUUCUUAAAGCAAAUCCAGAAAUACCGCCAAGAGGCCAUUGCGUUACUUCAAGUAACGCAAUGUCUGACAGAGUCACGAUUUUCAUACCCACCGGCACGAUGCAGACGCGCGCUUUCCGAAGUCAUUCAUACAACCCCCCUCCCCUAACAUCCUUAUCUCAUCGAUCCAGACGGACACUGAGUCUCCCAGCACGAGAGAAACCUUUAAUACCACCUGUGAUUUCGGAAAAUGCCGAGUACUUCAAUACGGUUCACGAACAAUGCCUUGGCGAGAAUCAGCCAAGUUCCAGUGAAGCUUAUGAUGACAUUGGUUGGAUAUCUCCGAUCAUAGGAUUUUUAAUCAGUCUCUUUCUAUUUGCUUGGGCGUGCCUACUUUCAAUGUCCGUAAAUAGUAGAGACGAUUCAUCAUGAUCCUUUUAUCUCGCUGGUUCUUCAUAAUUGACAUUUUAAGAUGUACUGCCAUCAUUUUACCUGAUGUGCUUAGAAAAAGACAGUAUUAUCAUCAUCAUCGUCAUCGUCCUCAUUUUCGUCGUCAACGCCAUCUUGUCGUCGUCACUGCCUUCGCUGUGUUGACAAUCAUUAUCGAUAUCACCAUCAUCAGCCACGUCAUCAUUUCGGCAUCAUUUCAGCAUCAGCAUCAUCAUCUUCGUCAUCGUUAUUGUUUCUGUCGUCGUCAUCCUCGUACUCAUCAUCACUACUAUAAUCCUCAUAGUAACAUCGAUAUGCAUACUUGUUGACAUGCGUUAUAUCGUUAAAAAAUAAAUGAAUAAAACAAACAAAACAAAACGAAAAAAAAACAACAUUUGCGUUACAGAUGAUAUUCGGUUCACAGAUACUUCGCAGUCAAGAUCGAUACCGCGACAUUUAUCUCGGUUUAUAUCUUUUUAAAUGGUGCAUACUCAAUCAGCAGUCAUGAGCAGUGUUUAAGACUUUCAAUAUUCUGGAUUUUUUGGAGAAGAGAGUUCUGUUACCUUAUACUUUUUAACGCGUUAUUGUAUUUGUAUCA